rnacentral:lncRNA from 1 species
CCCACUUAACGUGGUGCCCAGGUGAUUCACAUGCACUGUGAAGUUUGAUCAAAUGCUCUGGAUUGCCCCUAAACCAAAGCAUCUCCAUCAAGUUUUCUACCUUGUCCUCUGGGGCAAAUAAGCAAGAAAAUAAUCUCUUUUCUCUCAGUUUCCUUAGGUUUUGAUUUCUCUAAGAAUAAGUACAUUGUAAUAUGAGGAAUUUGACAUAUGAUCUAGAAAUUAGAUUGCUAGAUUCAGCAAGUAUAAAUACGCAAUACCCAGUACAGUAUAAUUUCAGAUAAACGACACAGAAUUUUUCAGUAUAAGCAUAUCCAUAUGAUAUUUGGGACAUACUUAUGUUAAAUCCAGAGCAUGCAAUAUUUGGGACAUACACAGACUUAAAAAAUGUAUUGUUUAUGUGAAAUUCAACUUUAACUUGGUUUAAAAAAAUUCCACUAGGUAUCUUAUAUUUUAUCUGGUAAACCUAUCUAGAAAGGAUUGUUUGGGUUCCAUAUUUUCUGCUGAAACCUUCACAGGAUUUCUCCUUUUUAGGCACUACAGUUGUGAUGAGGCAAUUGCAACAUUUGAAAAGACCCCAGGGAGUUUGCAUUAAAUGCGUUUCACAAGAGUGAAUGAUGGAACAGAACACCAUGUACAAAGACACAGUCAUCCAACACCCAAGCACAAAUGGCACAAGUUAAACAUGUGACGGCUUGAUGUAUGACAGGAUUGGACCAGAUUAUCUCUACAAUUUCUUCCAGUGCAAACACUCUGUGAAUGAAGGCACUUGCCUUCUCUCUAAACUGGAAGCCUCUUGAGGGCAGGACUGCAUCUACCUCCUCUCUGUACCCCUGCAGCACCCAGUACAGUGCCCAGCAAUGGACUGGAACCAAACCAGCAGAGCAAAACCAGGUCUUCAUUCUAAUAAUUUCAAGGAAUGCCAGAGCUAACCUGAUGUUCACAAGAGAGCACUUACUGUAAAAAUAAUUUAGCCACAUGGAACCUUUGAAGACCAUGGUAACUCACUGGCCUUUCAGUGGCUUCUGUGUGCAAAGAAUGAACAGAUGGAGGAGAUAAAAGGAAAGUUUUUCUGGUGAAAACAGGGACCGCCUGGAGAACUAGCUAAAAUUCAUGUAAAAUGCCUGUCUGGAGAAAUUGCAAAAAUGCAAAAAAUUGCAAAAAUGAAGGUCAAAGGUUUUCUGUAAAGUUACAUUUUUUGUACAUUUUGUAAAUAGCUUAUCAGCAUCAUUCAGAUCUUCCUGACUAGUGGUUUUCAUUGCAUAAAACUGAAAAGUCCCUUUAAAGAGUUUAAACUGGAAAGUCAUCCAAGGGCUCUACAGUUUCUGGACAUAGCCCUGAGCACCUGUAGCUUACAAUUUAACCAGUCUUCUAGCUGAUGAGCAUAGGAGAAUUCUCAGAGCAAAAUCCCACCAGGAAAGCUCUGCUCCCAGCCAACCUUUCAAGUUGGCCAGUCUUUGAAAAUGACACUUAGCCUUUCAUGCCUCAGAUCCCUCUGGUAUGCUGUGUGUGUGCACAUGCAUGCACUCUUGCCAAUACCUAUCUGGUAACUCAGAGCCCCAGAGGAAAACAUCUUUCUCAUGAAGAACAUGUUGGUGGCAGAGCACUGCCAGCUUCUUGGGCUUUCUGUGGGUCCCUUCUAGGUAAGGGAUGGGGUGGGGUGGCAUGAAUAAACCCAUUACAACCCUCAGCCACAACCAGAGUCUGCUCCAGUAUGAGCUAGUUUUGAGCGCUCCAGGGGGUCUCUAGCUGUCCUUUUCUGAUCUUCCAUGGAACACAGUAGAGCAUGGGUGGGGAGACUACCCAUAACCAGUUAAUUAGUUGGUUAUGCUUUAUAUUAUCACCAGAGCAAACAUGAUUUCUUACAGCUCAGGGGAUAAUAAUGGCCAACUUCAGGUCCACAGUGAAACCACAGUGGUGGGACCCCAGGUUCUCAUUUCAAUUUCUAUCACUCCAGACACAUUCAUCAUUUCAAGUGAGUAAUAUUUAGGUUUGGGGCUUUGAAUCAGCUUUUGAAGACUGAUACUGCCCCCCUUUGUUUAAAAAAGAGUUUGCCUAUUUAAAAAUAAGGCUAUUUAGGCCAGGCAU